UCCGUAGGCGGAUUGAUAAGUCAGAGGUGAAAUCCCACAGCUUAACUGUGGAACUGCCUUUGAAACUGUUAGUCUUGAGUUAUAUGGAAGUAGAUAGAAUGUGUAGUGUAGCGGUGAAAUGCAUAGAGAUUACACAGAAUACCGAUUGCGGAGGCAGUCUACUACGUAUAUACUGACGCUAAUGGACGAAAGCGUGGGGAGCGAACAGGAUUAGAUACCCUGGUAGUCC
rnacentral:rRNA from 1 species